rnacentral:rRNA from 1 species
AUAGGCAUAUCAAUAAGCGGAAGAGAAGACACCAACAGGGAUUGCCCCAGUAACGGCGAGUGAAGCGGCAACAGCUCAAAUUUGAAAUCUGGCUUCGGCCCGAGUUGUAAUUUGUAGAGGAUGCUUUUGGUGAGGUGCCUUCUGAGUUCCCUGGAACGGGACGCCAGAGGGUGAGAGCCCCGUAUAGUUGGACACCGAGCCUCUGUAAAGCUCCUUCGACGAGUCGAGUAGUUUGGGAAUGCUGCUCAAAAUGGGAGGUAUAUCUCUUCUAAAGCUAAAUACUGGCCAGAGACCGAUAGCGCACAAGUAGAGUGAUCGAAAGAUGAAAAGCACUUUGAAAAGAGGGUUAAAUAGUACGUGAAAUUGUUGAAAGGGAAGCGCCUUGUGACCAGACUUGUGCCCGGUGACAUCCAUGUUCUCACUGGUGCACUCUGCCGGGCUCAGGCCAGCGUCGGUUCUCGCAGGGGGACAAAAGCUUCGGGAACGUAGCUCCUCCGGGAGUGUUAUAGCCCGUGCUCAAUACC